rnacentral:lncRNA from 1 species
GGACUUUUCAACACGGUGCCAUCUCGCCAGUAUUUGGUGCACAGAGACAUCGUGCAGUGGUUUUGGACUAUACAGCAGGGGACACAUUAUACAGUGAUUGUUUUUCAUUUAGCCUGUAUAUGUUCUGCAGAAUGUGCAUUAAACUGUAUCUUCCAAAGUACUGAACGGAUCUGGGUGAAUUUUGGAUAUGUGGUUCACCCAGAUCCCCCCGUUUCCAAGGAUACUUUUUAUGGGGUUAUUGCAUGUUUUGGGGUCUCUGUGAUGUGUUUUAUGAAACUGUAUUUCUCUGUCUGUGAUAAUUAGAUUACCCAUUGUGUUAGGUAAUUGUAUUACAGGCAGAGGGGAGGAUUUUGUGUGGGAGUGUCUGUGUGUAUUGUACAGAUUGAU